AAUCAACGCUGGCGGCGUGCCUCAGACAUGCAAGUCGAACGAUUAAACUUUCCUUCGGGGAAGAUAUAGAGUGGCGCACGGGUGAGUAACACGUAAGUAAUCUACCCUUGGGUGGGGAAUAACAUCGGGAAACCGAUGCUAAUACCGCAUAAUGCAGCGGCUUCUUAUGAAGACAGUUGUUAAAGCAUUUAUGUGCCUGAGGAGGAGCUUGCGGCAGAUUAGCAGUUGGUAAGGUAAUGGCUUACCAAGGCGACGAUCUGUAGCCGACCUGAGAGGGUGGUCGGUCACACUGACACUGAAUAACGGGUCAGACUCCUACGGGAGGCAGCAGUCGGGAAUUUUGGGCAAUGGGCGCAAGCCUGACCCAGCAACGCCGCGUGAAGGAUGAAGUAUUUCGGUAU
rnacentral:rRNA from 1 species